rnacentral:lncRNA from 1 species
CCUUUUUUAAUUAGAUAUUGGUUGGGCUUUGAUUAUCUAUAUUGUGUGGGGUUGUUUCGUUUUUUUAUUUUGGGCAAACAAUGGAAGUUGUUUCAUUUUUUUUAAUAUUUUGGGUUGCUGUUUAGUUUUUUAUUUUAUUUUUUGUUAUGUGAUUGUAAACAAAUACAAAUGGAUGGUUUGAUUGUUGACAUUGCAACUAUUAAUGUUAUUUGGGAAAGAAAGAUAGUAAUCCUAACACUAAGAUUAUGACACUAUGAGAUUUAGUGUAC